GUCAGCAACCCGCGGAAGAGCUCGAUUAUCACGCGAACAUGAGAGCACCACUUGGGUGUGUUAUUAUGCUUAAUUUGAUCCUAUCUAUUUUUGCCGGUCCACCACGAGUUAGGAAACCUAGUGGCGGCACUGAAGGAAACCGCUGCGAAUCAAGCGCUGAAUGCGGAUCACUAGCAGACGCCUGCUGCGUAAUACCCGCGUACCUAUCAGGAUUGAAAGGCAUAUGCCAAAAACUACCUGGUCUUGGUCAGCCGUGCUCCAUUACAAUGUACAGAGACAACGCAAACAACAAUUACUACGCUCCUUACGUGGGCGCCUGUCCCUGCCGCCAUCCUGAACUCACGACGUGUUACCGCAGCGACCCAAGGAGUAAAGGGUUAGGCAUUUGUAAGAGCCGACAAACGCACGAUUGGACAGCAGAUAGAUAACCUAAAGAGCUUCGUGUGU
rnacentral:lncRNA from 1 species